rnacentral:rRNA from 1 species
AACGAACGCUGGCGGCAGGCUUAACACAUGCAAGUCGAGCGAGACCUUCGGGUCUAGCGGCGGACGGGUGAGUAACGCGUGGGAACGUGCCCUUCUCUACGGAAUAGCCCCGGGAAACUGGGAGUAAUACCGUAUACGCCCUUUGGGGGAAAGAUUUAUCGGAGAAGGAUCGGCCCGCGUUGGAUUAGGUAGUUGGUGGGGUAAUGGCCCACCAAGCCGACGAUCCAUAGCUGGUUUGAGAGGAUGAUCAGCCACACUGGGACUGAGACACGGCCCAGACUCCUACGGGAGGCAGCAGUGGGGAAUCUUAGACAAUGGGGGCAACCCUGAUCUAGCCAUGCCGCGUGAGUGAUGAAGGCCUUAGGGUUGUAAAGCUCUUUCAGCUGGGAAGAUAAUGACGGAACCAGCAGAAGAAGCCCCGGCUAACUCCGG